rnacentral:rRNA from 1 species
UACAGAGGUCUCAAGCGUUGUUCGGAUUCAUUGGGCGUAAAGCGUGUGUAGGCGGUCCGCUAAGUCGGGUGUGAAAUCCCUGGGCUCAACCCAGGAAGUGCACUCGAAACUGGCGGGCUAGAGUAUCGGAGAGGUUGGUGGAAUUCUCGGUGUAGAGGUGAAAUUCGUAGAUAUCGAGAGGAACACCGGUGGCGAAGGCGGCCAACUGGACGAAUACUGACGCUGAGACACGAAAGCGUGGGGAGCAAACAGG